rnacentral:rRNA from 1 species
GAAAGCUGGUGAACUAUGCCUGUGAAGGGCAAAGUCAGAGGAAAC